CAUGUGGCACCGUCCUGACACAUCCUCCGGCUUUGAUGAAGUGGCAAGACCGAUGCCCUUGCUAUGACACGGCGGCUCUCAAGUCCAGCUGGCUGUCUUUCUGCCGGCCCCGAGUGCCUCUCGCUGGACUCUGCCAGUCCUUCCGGCUACACCCACUCAUUAGCGGUUCACGACUUGCAGCCUCCUCUUUUCCUGAAAUCCUGCAAUUGCUCAGAAAGCUGGCUCAGACCCUGCUCGCACACGGUAGCGAAACAAAGGCGAGUCAGAACCGGCAGCCCGGCUGCUUCUCACCCUUCAGACAUCCCCGCGCAGGCAGCACGAUUGGAGGAACAGAAAACAAAGGCCUGAAGAGCCUCCCUCCAACAUGA
rnacentral:lncRNA from 1 species